GACAGAAUAUUUUUAAUUGUUUAAUACGUGUUUUGAAUGAAAAGGUGAAGCAUGUCCUGUCCCAGGCUGAGAACAUAGAGAUGGCACACCUGCUUGUCAAGAUUCUAAUGUCCCACUUCCAGGAACAUGAAGAUGGACUGGUUUUGCAUGCAGACGUUGCUGCAUCUGCAUCUGAUGUUGAGAAGACACUCAAUCUGCCUGCCAGUCCUCGUCUGAUUUUGCUGGGUAUGGCAGAGCCGGCAAAUGCUGUUUGGUAGAUGAUAAGCCUAGAGGGCUGUGUUAUUUGUGAGUGUGUC